AUCCUUUUGUAGUUCAUAAGCAUGAUGAUUGGGUGUUCACGCUUCUGUGUGACAUGUGCCACCCUUUAAACCUUGUUACGACCUCGGCACAUUACCCAUCUGACG
ensembl:snoRNA small nucleolar RNA, C/D box 13